GAGUUUGAUCCUGGCUCAGGAUGAACGCUAGCGGCAGGCUUAAUACAUGCAAGUCGAGGGGCAGCAGCUUUAUAGCAAUAUAGAGGCUGGCGACCGGCAAACGGGUGCGGAACACGUACACAACCUUCCUUGAAUAGGGGGAUAGCCCAUAGAAAUGUGGAUUAAUACCCCGUAAUAUAGCGGUGUGGCAUCACACUGUUAUUAUAGUUUCGGCGAUUCGAGAUGGGUGUGCGGCUGAUUAAGUAGUUGGCGGGGUAAAGGCCCACCAAGCCUUCGAUCAGUAGCUGAUGUGAGAGCAUGAUCAGCCACACGGGCACUGAGACACGGGCCCGACUCCUACGGGAGGCAGCAGUAAGGAAUAUUGGUCAAUGGACGCAAGUYUGAACCAGCCAUGCCGCGUGAAGGAUGAAGGUCCUCUGGAUUGUAAACUUCUUUUAUAGGGGGCGAAAAAAGGUCUUCUAGAUCACUKACAGUACCCCU
rnacentral:rRNA from 1 species